GGGCAGUGCAGGUCAGGGAAAAGAUGUGGGGCUGGUUGGGCAGUGCAGGUCAUGGUAAAGAUGUGGGGCUGGUUGGGCAGUGCAGGUCAGGGAAAAGAUGUGGGGCUGGUUGGGCAGUGCAGGUCAUGGUAAAGAUGUGGGGCUGGUUGG